rnacentral:ncRNA from 1 species
CGAUAAACGUUGAAUGGGAAGAGUACAAUUGCUGUCUCGUUACAGAGAGAGAAAUCAUUUGCUGGAAGAUUUCUUACGUAGAUAAAUUGGAAGGUCGCCCAGGAGUUGCUUCUUUGAAUUAAGUAGGAGAAGCCGGUGUAGACCGUUAUAAAUCUUGAGUGCAUAGACUAUGCUUGCGUAUUUCUUAUAGUUAAGGGAAUUAUAAAAAUUCUUGUACUAUGGAUUAGCGCUUUGACAUCCAGCUCCAGCGCCUAGUGAACUUCACACUCCUUAUACGCUAAGUCAACAUCGAAUCGCUUACGCUCUUCGUGUUUCCUUUAUCUCAUACGGAGUGCUCUUGUUUCUCGUCGCUGAUCAAGGCGCUUGCGCUUUUGUUCCUGGUCUAUGAAAAAAGGUGGUACCGCGAAAAUUUUCUCCUUUCGUCCUUUUA